CAUCCCCAGUCUCAAGGGGAAACCAGGACAAUGAGAACAGCCACUUGCCAUCAGGAGUCACUGAAGGGGCCCCAGGAUGGGAUGGUGGGGAGAUAAGAACCAUGAGAGAAGUUAGCACAAAGGAGUUAUGGGACAAAAGGUCCAAGAUAGGCAGAAAAGAAAAUGUUGCCAGUUGAUGGUGAAGAAAGGAAGUCAGAGGGCUCAGACACUGUGGGGGACAGAACAUCUCCGUGUGCACUCUCAUCUCUUGUAGUCAGCAACAGGUUUCCACAGGGAAGGCCCUACAUCAUCUGCUACCCUGAAAGAUCUGGAGAGCCCGUGCCAAGAACGAGCAGUAGUCCUGGAUUCAACGUCCGUAAAAAUCAGUCGACUGAAGAACACCAUCAAAUCUUUGAAACAACAGAAGAAACAAGUGGAACAUCAGCUGGAAGAAGAAAAGAAAGCAAACAACGAGAGACAGAAAGCUGAAAGGGAGCUAGAGGUUCAAAUCCAGACAUUGAUCAUACAGAAAGAGGAACUAAAUACGGACCUGUACCACAUGGAACGUUCUCUCAGAUACUUUGAAGGUGGGAAUCUGGGCACCCUGUCAUCC
rnacentral:lncRNA from 1 species